rnacentral:rRNA from 1 species
GACGAACGCUGGCGGCGUGCUUAACACAUGCAAGUCGAACGAAGUGGCGAACGGGUGAGUAAUACGUGGGUAACCUGCCCUCCUUUUUGGGAUAAGCCUUGGAAACGGGGUCUAAUACCGAAUAAAGGGGGAUGGGCUCGGGGCCUUUCAGCUUGUUGGUGGGGUGAGGGCCUACCAAGGCGGGGACGGGUAGCCGGCCUGGGAGGGUGACCGUACCCAGAGGGACUGGGAUACGGCCCAGAAUCCUACGGGAGGCAGGAGUGGUGGAUAGUGCACAAUGGGUGAAAGCCUGAUGCAGCGACGCAGCGUGGGGUAUGAAGGCUUUCGGGUUGUAAACCUCUUUCGCUAUCGCACGGGUAGGUGGAGAAGAAGCGCCGGCUAACUACGUGCCAGCAGCCGCGGUAAUUC